GUGGUCGUGGUGGAACUGGCAGACACGUACGUUUGAGGGGCGUAUGGGCAACCAUGCGGGUUCAAGUCCCGCCGACCACA
rnacentral:tRNA from 1 species